rnacentral:lncRNA from 1 species
GCUCCCCUGAAAUUAUUUUGCGUGUUUCAAAGAUAUCAGCUUGGCAAACAUAUCUUUAACUUCAUGAAUGAAGUGGAACUGGUUUGCUUCUUAAAAAAAAAAAAACCAGCACUCACUUUAUUUCUAAACUUUUUAUUACUGUUUGUACAAAAUUGAUUCAUAAUAAUUAACAUUAAUAUACAUGCAACCAGUUUUGCAAGCACUUUAUAGCUACAGCUGCCCUGCCUCUGGUUCCUUGGUAAAAAUACCUCCCACAGGUCCCCAUGAAUUUGGGAACCAUCUAUCAUUUGUGCCACUGGGUUAAGAAACGUGAGGAAAAGCAGGAAUUCAGACACCAUGGGAGCUCAUCAACAUCAUGGGCCUUGAAUGUGGUUUAAGUGUGAUAAAAAACCUACCUCAAAGGGAGAUAAUUUUGAUAAUUUUUUUCAAUUUUUUAAUUUUUUUUUUUUACUCAAACCUAAGUUGAUAUGACUCAUCUGAGCUACACUGAGAAAAAAAUAACUCUCUUUUCACCACUGCCAUCCCUGUGCCCUUUGGAAGGGAGAUUUUCCAGUUUGCUUGUGCAGAUCAGUGAGGUUUGCAGGCACCUGGAUGUUAAAAGAGGAAAAUGUUCAUACUUAUAUGAUGUUUUCCAUUAAAAUCUUGCCUUGGAGUUUUGUGGAGGCAUUGCCAUGUUGAUUCUUCCACAAUGGCUGAGAAAAUUCCUCUCUGAAAUUCACUUCACAUGAAAGAUUACACAGCUCCACUGCUACGUGAAAUGAGGGUGACUGGAUUAUGCUUUGGUUUGUUUCUGCUGGAAAACAGGUUUUUGUCAAAAGGAAUUUACAUUCUACAAUGAAAUCUUUUAUGGCUGUCACCUUUAAAUUCUCUCCCAGCAGGAAAAUUUCGAAUAAAGCAAAUAUUUUCAUCUACUUUGCUUUUCAAAAGAACAGAUUGCAGAGUGAAAGCAGAAGUGGAAUGGAAACCAACUCUUUUAACAUAAAAGUACAGCCCUCAGCUCCUGCUCACACAUGUUUAUAGCCACUUCCAAGGAUGAUAACUUCUUUGAAAGGGUUGCAAUUUGAGCAUUUUUAUGCACCCCAGGUGCAUUGCAUCUAUAUAACUCUUAUUACCAUAUAACUCUUGCUAACUCUACAACUCCUUUAGGGCACAUAAUGCUGUUUGCAUUAACUCAGGAGCUCAGAGCCAGGCAGGAGGAUCUGGGGCACCUCGAGCAGGGCACUGCACAUCCACAUCCUCUGCUCCAGGAUGAAACAGGCCCACGAGCCCUUUUCACCCCUCAUAACGGCCAAAUGGAUUAUAAAAACAUUUCUCUGCUGGAGUGGCUCUGGAGAUAAGAAACGCUCAUCAGGAUUCAGCGGGGGUGAAUUUAAUUUCAGCCAGCGCCACCUCUGACUUUGCUGUUGCACACCUGGUGCCUUCUCACACU